GGGUCGGUGGCGUAGUUGGUUAUCGCAUCUGUCUAACAUCGCGUUCACAGAAGGUCCUCAGUUCGAACCUGGGCCGACUCA